rnacentral:rRNA from 1 species
GAUGAACGCUGGCGGCGUGCCUAAUACAUGCAAGUCGAGCGAACGGACGAGAAGCUUGCUUCUCUGAUGUUAGCGGCGGACGGGUGAGUAACACGUGGAUAACCUACCUAUAAGACUGGGAUAACUUCGGGAAACCGGAGCUAAUACCGGAUAAUAUUUUGAACCGCAUGGUUCAAAAGUGAAAGACGGUCUUGCUGUCACUUAUAGAUGGAUCCGCGCUGCAUUAGCUAGUUGGUAAGGUAACGGCUUACCAAGGCAACGAUGCAUAGCCGACCUGAGAGGCGGAUCGGCCACACUGGAACUGAGACACGGUCCAGACGCCUACGGGAGGCAGCAGUAGGGAAUCUUCCGCAAUGGGCGAAAGCCUGACGGAGCAACGCCGCGUGAGUGAUGAAGGUCUUCGGAUCGUAAAACUCUGUUAUUAGGGAAGAACAUAUGUGUAAGUAACUGUGCACAUCUUGACGGUACCUAAUCAGAAAGCCACGGCUAACUACGUG